rnacentral:lncRNA from 1 species
UUUUUUUUUUUUAAAUGUUAUUUCAUAUUUUAUACCUAAUUUAAUUUUUUUUAUCUUGCUUGUGCCACGAUCAAAUUUGUUAAGACAUAUUGCAAAUAUAUCUUUUAAUAUAGACUUUGGUGACUCCCAGCUCUAUCCAUCCUUCUUUUUCGCGGUUGUCUCUCUACUAAAGGGGUUCUUGCUCCUCUGAAGUACUCGGUUUAACUCUUCGAUUUCUAAUAAAUUUUUUAUUGGCCUAGUAAAAAGCCGAAAAGAAUAACUAGUACAAAAAACAAUAAACUUCAUUUUCCUUUGAAUAGCAGGAGGUACAAUAAUUAAUUAAUCAAUGGUGACUUUUGGAUUAACUUCUAUUGGGUCCUAUUGGGACUCCUUAUUGUUUGGAUAAGGUCGAAUGAAAGCAGAGUUCAUUUGCCAGAUCCUAAGUGAGGCACUGACACUGGCCUCAGUAGCAUUGUUGAAUAAGAACAGCUUAGCAGCUCCAUAGAUUGCUUUUGUCGGAUAAACCCGAGAUGUGAUGACUGUCCGUCCACCUUGAGCAAAGCUUUCAACGAUCGAAUGAUCCACCUGCAAACCAAAAUACCAUUUUUAUGUUUUAUUGAUUAUUCUCAUAGAUAGUGAUGCAUUUUAUACAUGUAGUAGUAGGAGAGCAUGGAACCGAGUUUAAACUCACCAAGACUCUGAGGGAUAAUUUUUCGCCCUCCAGUACUGGAACCAGGUUCCCAUAAAUUCGUUUAUUAACAUCAGAUGCCACAGAUGAUCUGAAAAAUACAACAUGGUAAGUCCAAGGCCGAGAUAUCUGGUAAGUGAAGAACAGCUUAGGGUUUAUGCAUACCGAGAUUGAUCAUUGCAGAAGAAAGUCUUGAGUUUGCCAUCGGAUCCUUUGGCGAUGUAGAAGUAUACAGGUGUCUGUUCACUGAGGCUGUCAUCCGCAAGCACCAACAGACCAAAUGGUCCCAAUGCCCCACGUUCUAUAGUUCCACCACUGCUGCUGCAGCUGAAUGUUACGUUGGACCCUGUUGUUUUCUCUAAAGCCUCUUUAUCUAUCUCAAACUCCGCUAUGAUAUCCAACUGUAACAUGACCAGAAUCUUCUUGUCAACUAACAGGAUCUCGGUCGAGAACGUAUCGGUGAUACACAUAAAUACAUGACAAAAAGACGAACCUGUGUGGCUGGACCAACAUCUAGAGGAACAACUGAUCCGGCCUGGACUUUCACCUGGUUAAAUUCGUAGCUCUUCAACCUCAAACUUUCUAUUUCUUCCACUGGCCACUGAAGCAAAUGAGUACCAAUCUUCUUGUCAAACAAAAUCGUCCUCGGGAUGCUCUGUAAGACAGCACAUUAGAAACAAGUUAAACGGUUAAAGGAACUGAAGAAAUGCGGUUUUCUAGUUAAUGCUUAUGGUGGAUACCUGAACAGAUGCCCAUCCUUUCUGCAUAUCAGCAGCUUCGCUAUCGGAUUCUCCAAUCCAACCCCACAAAACUCUUCUGUUUUUGUUCUGAUCGUAGAAAGUCUUGGCAGCAUAGUAUAUACCAUAAUCAUACCUUAGUCCAAUGCCAACAUCAAUCUUAGGUUCAUCAGGAAUCCAUGUACCAUUCUUCUCAUGAUAAGUCCCAAUAGAAUAGUAAUCAUGUCUGUCAUCAUCCAGGCUGGCCUUCACCACAUGCUUCACACUCGGUCCAUUAACCGAAGUGUCCAAGCCAUUUUCCUCCGUUUUUGAAACAGGGAAGAAGUCCACACACUCCCACAUGCCAGUUCCGGGCACAGCAUGAAGUACCCCAUCUAACAACUCAUAGUUUAUGAAGUCCUUAGUAUCAUACACCAAAGCUAUGCCGGUUUUAUUGAUCUUGGACCCUAUGGUAAUGCGCCAUUUCCCUUCGGAGGUCAACCAGGCGGUAGUAGGGUCGCGGAAAUCCUUGUCAAGGAUGCCCGGGGGAGGAACUAAAACGGGGUUCCCAGAAUACUUGACCCAAUUGAUAAGAAGAGGGUCAGAGUGGUCAGCAGGAUAAGCAAGGUUUUGAACUUGAACAUUCUCGGUGGUGGAUCCUGUAUAGCAUAACAACUUUGCCGUCAGGGAGGAUCGUGGCGGAACCGGUCCAGACGCCAUUUUUAUCGUACCACUGGUCAGCAACCAUUGCCAGUGGGAGGUGAAGCCAAUGGAUCAAGUCCUUGGAUACCGCAUGACCCCAAACUAUGUCACCCCACACAGCAGCAUGGGGAUUGUACUGGUAGAAGAAAUGAUACCAUCCCUUGUAGAACAAUGGACCUGUAACGAUUAACAGCCCAAAUUUCAGCCAAUCAUAAACAAAACAUGUCGUUUAGAAAAAGAAUUCUGACAUUUUUUUAUGGAACUGAUUGCCAUGAAAUUACUUCAAAUCAUACAGAAGUAAUUGCCAUUACAUUUUCGUUGUUCAUGCGUUCAAAUACAUGAAUCUUAGUUGUCAAAAGCCAAUUAUGCCUAUGCUGUAAUAUGCGGACAAGCAACCUCGGUUUUCUGCCCUGCCAAUUAUGCCUAUCGAGCUUUUUCAAACAUUCAAGUUCUUACUUUUUUAUCAUUUUAAUAGCAACUUUUAAGCCAGUCAGUCACGUGCACUUUCUUUCUUUUUUUAAAAAAAAAAAGAAGCUAUAAUUGAACAGUUAAUCAUGUUCACGUUACAGACUUACAGCCCAAGUUCAUAAUGCUAGAAAUUUUAGGUUGGAUUUUACAAAUGAAUGAAAGAAAAUACCAAAACAAUCAAUUUUCCUCAUUUCAUGAGCUGUCUACGUCAAAAGAGGAAAAAAAAUAAUGUCUAAUUUAAUUUAAUGAAUGUUAUAUUUUAAAAAUAAUUGAAUAAAAUUUCAAUGAUAUGUACUUUCAUAACAGUGUAUGGUUAAAUAAUAAUGAAUGUAAAAUUAAUAGAAAUGGUGGGCUCCAACUUUUCGACAAAGUAGGAAUUAUUGAGUUUGCAAUUAGUUGUCUAUUCAAUCAGAUACUGCAGUUAAUCAAGGGGGGCAAAAAGUUAUUUUGUGGAUUGCGUGUGCCCCCCCAAAAGCCCUCUUCUUUUUUAACCUCAAAAAAAAUAAGAGGUCAUAAAGGUUUCACUUUUAUACAAGCUUGGGUAUACAAAAUUAUACAGGGCCUUACCAUUAGGAUCUGAAGCAGAACGAACCAGAUUCCCAUGUCAGAGCAACAACGUAUGAACAAGCACCCAGCCAAACAAACAAACAAAAAACCCAAAAUGUCAGAGAUAUGUGAUAAAAAAAAACAGCAUAUGUAAGAAGAAAGGAAAAACCCAGAUCUAAUCACUCCUCAUUUUCUUCCAUGAAAUAAGGAACUGUUGGAAAUUUGAAUCCACCCGAAAUUAAUCAAGUAUAUGCUACUUCAUUUUCAUGGUGUUUUUAUAAAGAAAAAAAAAUAUAAUUGUUAAGAUUCAACUAAGUAUGUAUUUCAUCUUUUCAGCUUUCGACCAUUGAUAAUAUGAUUGAAAUGCAGUGGGAAUUAUUAAUAAACUUUUUUAUCUAGUAUAAUAUUCAAAAAGUAGGGGCACUUUUUAAAUAAUUUCAAAGGAAGUGGGAAAAAGGAACCUCUUUUUUCUCUUACCAUUCAUCCAAUUCUUUUCAGGUUGAAAGUGAAAAGCUGUUCUUUGCCAUGACAGCAUGCUAUUAUUCCAUGGAUACGCCAGCUGAUUCUCGUUAUCUUUGGCAAAAAGCCUGUUCGAUUUCUCUGACACUCCGACAGCCGGUCCAC